CCGUUCGGGAACUCUGACACGAGGUGCUGCAUGGCUGUCGUCAGCUCGUGUCGUGAGAUGGUUAGGGUUAACGUCCCGUAACGAGCGCAACCCUUGUCCUUAGUUACCAGCACGUUAUGGUGGGCACUCUAAGGAGACUGCCGGUGACAAACCGGAGGAAGGUGGGGAUGACGUCAAGUCAUCAUGGCCCUUACGGCCUGGGCUACACACGUGCUACAAUGGUCGGUACAAAGGGUUGCCAAGCCGCGAGGUGGAGCUAAUCCCAUAAAACCGAUCGUAGUCCGGAUCGCAGUCUGCAACUCGACUGCGUGAAGUCGGAAUCGCUAGUAAUCGUGAAUCAGAAUGUCACGGUGAGUACGUUCCCGGGCCUU
rnacentral:rRNA from 1 species